CUAUGGGUUCGGCUCCAUCGUGGGGCUUUGAGGGGAGGAGGUUGCAGGUGGUUACCUACCUCCGCGGCGACCGGUGCAUGGGGUGCGGUGGCGGUUGAAGGAGAUGGGGGGCACAGGCGGGCGAUCGCUGCGAGGAGUCGAGAAUCGCAAAGAGGGGAAAGCAGCGGCGACGAUCGGGACGAUGGGCGCUCGGAAGUGGCAGUGCCCCUUUCCUCGGAUCCGGAUGAGAUCGGCGACCGGGGACGCACGGGAGCGUGUGGAAGCGGGAUACGACGGAGCGUCGAUGAGUGAUCUGGCCACGGACGGCGACGCUGAGACGCAAUGGAGCGUGGCGGCUGGCGACGGGGACACGGGCGGAGCCUAGCGCGUCCUCCUCUCUUCCGUGCCUGGGUACGACCACGGUUGGCCAGUGGCUCAGGGAGAUCCUCUUCGUCGGGUCGCAGGGCACGCGGUUGGUGCUCUCGGCAGCGGUCGCGACGACGUUGGAGGUGUCGGACGUGCGCGGGGUGGGGUGGGGGAAUCGUCUUAGGGGCUUUUCCCUUGGGAGAAUGAUGGCCACGGGAACAGGGAUUCUUUUUUUUUU
rnacentral:lncRNA from 1 species